AUUGAACGCUGGCGGCAGGCCUAACACAUGCAAGUCGAGCGGAUGAGGGAAGCUUGCUUCCCGAUUUAGCGGCGGACGGGUGAGUAAUGCCUAGGAAUCUGCCUAUUAGUGGGGGAUAACGUUCCGAAAGGAACGCUAAUACCGCAUACGUCCUACGGGAGAAAGUGGGGGAUCUUCGGACCUCACGCUAAUAGAUGAGCCUAGGUCGGAUUAGCUAGUUGGUGGGGUAACGGCUCACCAAGGCGACGAUCCGUAGCUGGUCUGAGAGGAUGAUCAGCCACACUGGAACUGGGACACGGUCCAGACUCCUACGGGAGGCAGCAGUGGGGAAUAUUGGACAAUGGGCGAAAGCCUGAUCCAGCCAUGCCGCGUGUGUGAAGAAGGUCUUCGGAUUGUAAAGCACUUUAAGUUGGGAGGAAGGGUUGUAAGCUAAUAUCUUGCAGCUUUGACGUUACCAACAGAAUAAGCACCGGCUAACUCUGUGCCAGCCGCCGCCGCAACAC
rnacentral:rRNA from 1 species